CAUUUUCAGCAAGAUUGUCACAUUUUUCUGUUGUUUAUUUCAGCCCCAAGUUCUGAUGACCUCCGGUCUCAAAACUGAAAGAAGGAUGAGAAAAAGACCUAAGAGCCUCGAGUUCUGAUGACCUCCGGACUCAAAACUGGAAGAAGGAUGAGAAGACCCCAAAGAUGAUAGACACAUGAAGACGAGGAACUGAGCCCACGAGAGAUGAUCCUAAAGAUGACAACCAGCCAGCAAUGAGAUGACAGGACAAGUUUGUGAGGAGCAGAAUUCACUGGAUGGAACACUGAGAAGAAAUAAGUCAUUUUCAAGAAAAGAUGAUGGGAAACAUGUCCAGGACCAGUGCAGGAGACGUGAGACCACUCAACGAAAUCAAGGUACCGGAAUUGCAGAUUGCGUCAUCAGUAUUCGACGGCCGAAAUUUUCAGCUUUGCAGCUGCAUGGGAUACGAGACUCACAGGAGAUGAUGCCAGUUUCAUGUCCUUGGACCUUUCAAUGGCUGUAGAGUACAUCUACUCACAAAGGAUCAUCCGUCAGGACAUAAAACCAACAAAUGUCUUGGUUCACUACCCAUCAAAGAGGGCAGCCCUGACUGACUGGGGGCUGGCUAACAUAAGGGACACAGUGAUGGUUCGGCAUGGAAGCAGGUUCGCUGUGCCUCAUGGCACACUGAUAUGUGGUCCCUGGGGGCAACUUAUCUUGAGCUUCUCACAGGAUCUGUUCCUUGGGAGAAAAAGAAACAAAGAGAGCUGUCUGCCCUAAUGGCCGCCCAAUCCUCACCCCAUGCUCUUAGGCUCCUUGAUGAGAGGUUGGCUUUCCUUGGAAGUCUUCUGAGCUAUGAUCCCUCAUCAAGGCCCAGAGCAUCUGCAGUCGUUGAGUUCCUGAAGUCACAACUCGAUUUUCAAAGCAGAUAUGGCUUCAAUUGGUAAUCUGGAUAGCAAUGUUUUAUGUUGUAUUUGUUUAGUUUCUGGUUUAAAGCUCAUGUAUAAUACAUGUGUUCAAGAAAACAUAAUGUUAAGAUGUAAAAUUCAAACAGUUAUUACGAAGUUCAUUUUGUCUUCAGAAAAAAAAAAACAUUUUAAAAAUUUCCAAUUCUGUUAAUUUUGUGCAUCAUAAACCUUACUUUUUUUUGUUUGAAGUUUGAUUUUGCCGCAUCAAAGCUAAAUCCGCGUUUUGGUGAUCCAUAGUGGGAUGUUGCAUGCAUGUGUGAAUGUGUGAAGAUCUGGAUUGACUACGCAGAGGAAAGAGGUGCUAAGAAUGGCAGUGACAAGCGGUGUGAAUGGCUGGAUGAUGAAUGGAAAAAUGCAAUUUCUAAAUGUGCAUCUGGAGUGUGGCUGAGUGAACUCCCGAAACUCGCUUGAAUAUUGUUAAUAUUGCUGGUUUGCAAAAGCGUUGUCAAGACCCUGUGGGCUUACUCCAAUCUGCGGAAACCAACGUUUUGCACCCGGGAAGGCAGAUGCUGUAUUUCGACAAUGGGCAUUAAAAGGGUUAGAAAAUAUUGCAGACCUAUAUUUGCCACAAUCAGACAUCAUGAUGUCCUUUGUGGAAAUAAAAUGUAAGUAUGACAUAGACAAAAAAUAUUUUUUUCAAAUUUCUUCAGCUUAGAAGCUUUAUUAGAACCAGCCAAAACACUGUUUUAACCAGGCCCCCAAUAUCUAAUCUAGAAAAAAAUGAUGUCUAAAAACAACUUAAACAAAGGGGCUAUAUCAGAACUAUAUAAUCUGUUAGUGUCAAGUUCAACUGAGACUUCAGAUAAAAAAUGGAAAGAGUGGAAGGAAGAUCUAAAGAUGGACAUAACAUCAGAGGACUGGGAACUGAUUUGCACCAAAGCCCACACUCAAUCAAUAAAUACCCGAUUUAAAUUGCUACAAUACAAAUGGUUGUUGAGAACAUGUAUUACACCAGUUAAAUUAAAUACGUUUAAUAGCAACAUUCCAGAUUUUUGUGUUAAAUGUAAUGAGGCAAAGGGAACUUUAUACCAUUGUAUGUGGGAUUGCCCAAAGGUUAAAAAAUUAUGGGGGGGAGAUUAAACAAACAAUAGAAAAUAUUAUUUCUAAAAAUAUUUCAAUGAACCCUGCUCACUUUAUUUUGGGACUUUAUCUGAUAAAGUCUGUGGGCUUUAUUGAUAAUUGGAGCUCUUUUUGGGGAAAACCUGGUCUGAUUAGGAGAGAUGGCAUCCAUCCCACUUUGGCUGGUCCAGCUCUCAUUUCUAGGAAUAUGGCUGAUUUUAUUAGUACUCCUAAAGCAUGACAACCCAGAGUUAAGACCAAGAUGCAGAGCUGUAGUCUUACACACCUCUCUGCAGUUUCCUCACAGCUGUCACCCUCCAGUAAUUCAGUUAGCUUUAUUGAGACUGUGUCUGUCCCCCGACUACCAAAAUUCAAUAAAUUAAACAAAUCAAAAAUAUACAAAAGAAAUAGUAACCACAAAAAUUUAAUAAAAAUUAAUACCACUAUUUCAACAGAGCACAGAGACAGGAAAAUUAAAUGUGGUCUGUUAAAUAUUAGAUCUCUCUCGUCUAAAUCUCUGUUAGUAAAUGAGUUGAUAACUGAUCACCAGAUUGAUUUGUUCUGUUUGACUGAAACCUGGUUGCAGCAGGAAGAAUUUGUUAGCCUAAACGAAUCAACUCCCCCUAGUCAUAUUAACUGUCAUAUUCCUUGAAUCACAGGCCGAGGAGGAGGAGUAGCAGCAAUUUACCAUUCUAGUUUAAAAUUGAACCAGAGGCCUAAACCUGAUUACAGCUCAUUUGAAAAUCUCACUCUUAGUCUCUCUCAUCCAGAUUUGAAAGCUCAGAAACCAGUUUUAUUGUUGUUAUAUAUCGUCCUCCUGCUCCUUAUUCUGAGUUUUUAUCUCAAUUCUCAGACUUUUUAUCUGAAUUAGUGCUCAGUUCAGACAAAGUUAUUAUUGUGGGUGAUUUUAACAUUCAUGUUGACAUAGACAGCGACAGCCUUACAACAGCUUUUAAUUCAUUAUUAGAGUCAAUUGGGUUUUCUCAACAUGUAAAUAAACCAACUCAUAGUUUUAAUCACACUCUUGACCUUGUCCUGACUUAUGGCAUAGAAAUUGAAGAGUUAACAGUAUUUCCCCAGAACCCUCUUCUUUCUGACCAUUUUAUGAUAACAUUUCAAUUUAAAGUAAAGGAUUGUUUAGCAGCUGAGAACAAAUAUCAUUACAGUAGGUGUUUGACAAUUCAGUAUCUAAAUUUAAGGAAAUAAUACCCUCACUGUUUACUUCAGCAACAUUUACUGAUAAAUCAGAAGGCAAAUAUUAUAAUUUUACCCCCACAGAAGUGGAUUAUUAUGUUAAUAAUGCUUCAGCCUCACUGCGUACAACUCUUGAUAGUGUUGCACCUGUAAAAAAGAAAGUUAUAUCUCAGAGAAGACUUGCUCCUUGGUAUAAUUCCCAGCUGCGGAUUUUAAAGCAGGCAUCCUGAAAGCUUGAAAGAAAGUGGUAUUCCUCUAAUUCAGAGGAAGUGUAUGUGGCUUGGAAAAAUAGUCUAGUAAUCUAUAAAAAAGCUCUUCGUAAUGCCAGAACAACUUAUUAUUCAUCUUUAAUAGAGGAGAACAAGAACAACCCCAGGUUUCUCUUUAGCACUGUAGCCAGGCUGACAAAGAGUCAGAGCUCCGUUGAACCUUGCAUUCCUUUAGCUCUAAGCUGUAACAACUUCAUGAGCUUCUUUACACAUAAAAUAGUUAUGAUUAGAGAUAAAAUUAAUUUGGCCCUUCCUCACAGAUGCUUUUGAAUUGGCUGUUAGACCUGAUGAAUAUUUAGAAUUCUUCACUCCUAUAUGUCUCUCUGAACUAAUUUCAACAGUUUCUACAUCCAAACCAUCAACAUGUCUUUUAGAUCCUAUCCCAACUAGACUCUUCAAGGAGAUUUUACCUUUACUUAAUUCUUCAAUGUUAGAUCUGAUUAAUCUCUCUCUAGUAACAGGCUAUGUACCACAGGCUUUUAAGGUUGCUGUCAUCAAACCUUUGCUUAAAAAGCCCACUUUGGAUCCAGAUGUGUUAGCUAACUAUAGACCAAUGUCCAACCUACCAUUUCUCUCUAAAAUUCUGGAAAGAAUAGUUGCAAAUCAAUUAUGUGAACACUUACAAAGGAAUAAUUUGAAGUGUUUCAGUCAGGCUUCAGAGUGCAUCAUAGCACAGAAACAGCUCUGGUGAGAGUUACUAAUGACCUUCUCAUAGCAUCAGAUAAUGGACUAGUCUCUAUACUUGUUUUGUUAGAUCUUAGUGCAGCGUUUGACACAAUCAACCACAUAAUUUUAUUACAGCGUCUAGAACAUUCAAUUGGCAUUAAAGGGACAGCACUGGACUGGUUUAAAUCCUACUUAUCAGAUAGGUUCCAGUUUGUGCAUGUCAACAAUGACUCUUCUGAGCAUACUAAAGUUAAUCAUGGAGUUCCUCAGGGUUCUGUCUUAGGACCGAUACUUUUCACAUUAUACAUGCUUCCUUUAGGCAAUAUUAUUAGGAAGCAUUGUAUUAACUUCCAUUGUUAUGCAGAUGACACACAAUUGUAUUUAUCUAUGAAGCCAGAUGAAACUGAUCAGUUAGCUAGACUGCAAGAUUGUCUUAAGGACAUUAAAACCUGGAUGACUUUUAACUUCCUACUGCUAAAUUCAGACAAAACUGAAGUCAUUGUAUUUGGCCCCAAACAUCUUAGAAACUCGCUUUCAAAGCAAAUAGUAACUCUGGAUGGCAUCACAUUGGCCUCCAGUACUACUGUGAGGAAUCUUGGAGUUAUUUUUGACCAGAACAUGUCCUUUAACCCUUUACGCUUCAGUGCAUCGUAGGUGUACCGCCGGCGGUACACCUACUAAUUUGCAUAGGAAUUUCAAGAAUGUCCGACGGCUGCAAACCCGAUUAUACAAACACUAUACGCCGAUGGAAAGCUUAGAUUCUCAUGAAUCCACCGGUAUAAACCACUUUCAGGUGCGAUUACCACAGCGGGUGAGAAAAACACAUUUGUCCGACAAAAACAAAUAUUCAUCCAUCCGUUCUCUAUACACGGCUUCAACGCACACAGCGCGACUCACAUUUCCGGGUUCAUUAUUACACACAGAAAAAGAGAUUCCACAAAAAACGGCCAUAAUCCAACCUUUUACAUCCAGACAACACAAGCCAGUAAACUAUUUUGUCCAAAACAUGUCCUGAAGUCGGUAUAAAAUCCACGAAUCGGUCGUUUUCAAGGAAAUGCACCUUGCGAUGUGCGUCCAAUAUUCCCUGUAUUUUUCGUAAUUUUUUUUAUUUAAAAAUAGAAUAUUAGCGAUUUUUUGUACUGAAAACGGCUGGAAUUGACUGAAGCUUAAAGGGUUAACUCACACAUAAAGCAAGUCUGUAGGACUUCCUUUUUUCACCUGCGUAAUAUUGUAAAAAUCAGGAACAUCCUGUCUCAGAGUGAUGCAGAAAAACUAGUUCAUGCUUUUGUUACUUCCAGGCUUGACUAUUGUAAUUCCUUAUUAUCGGGUUGUCCAAAUAGCUCUCUCAAACAUCUACAGUUGAUCCAAAAUGCUGCUGCGCGAGUACUGACAGGAGUUAGCAAAAGAGAUCAUAUUUCCCCUACAUAAAUAAAAUUGAAUUGAAUUGAAUCCAAGGCGACGUAAGUACACCAAGAGUGAGCGUGUAAUAAUAGAUUCAAGCCUCCUGCAUGCUAAAAGAUUACUUGCACUCUUCUGGAAAAAACCUUGCAUACCAAGAUUAGUAGACUGGGCAAGGCAGAUGUUAAUAACCUUUCCUCUAGAAAGAGUGGCAUAUGUACGAAAAGGGAGACAGGAUUCGUUUGAAAAAGCGUGGGGACCCUUUAUUGCUUUUGUGAAAUCCAUGAAUUUAAUAGAUGAAAGUGAUGAGGUGGAAUGAACAGUUGUGAUGUAAACCUCGUAGAACUGCCAGAAUAGAGGAAGGACAGGAUUACCUGCUGUUCUGUAUAAAGUACUGUAUUUAUGUAUUUACAUGUCUGAGAAGAUGGUUUUUUUCUUUUUUUUCUUUCCUUCUUUUUCCCUUCUUCAUUUCCUUAUUUUAUGAAGAUCUGUUUAAUAUGCAAGUACCACAUUAUGGUUUAAAAUAUUUGCAUAAUUGAGUAAGUCUUGUAAUGUAUACUGCAACGCAUAUAUGUACCUGCAUACAAAAACUGUUAAUAUAUUGUUAAAAAAAAAUAAAGCAUCUUGGGACAAUUUGACCUGU